UUAUUUAUACUUUUGUUAAAUUAAAAAAAGUUAUUUACAAAGAUCAAGCCCAAAAGUGGCUUGGCCCAACAAACAAUCCCUAAUAAUAACCAUUUGGCAAAGUUGUCUCUUCCACUUCAACAAGCAGACCAGAUUAGCUCAAGUAAGGAUGAUCGAUUCCUUUCUCAGUCGUUCGUGUAUCAUGUAGCUCUUCGUCUAUUGCGACUUGAUUUUUUUGCUUUCUAAGCUAAGUAUCAAUCCCUUCUUUAUUCUUUCUCAAAUCAGUGGGUUGAGCUUCUAUCACAGCUAACACCACCACCUACUCGGAGAAGAAAUCAAUGAGAGUGAUGAACUUAUUUUAUAUCUUUGAAUCUGUGCUAUAGUGAUAUACCAACACAAAAUUGGAGCUUUCAAUUUUGAUUAGGCUGUACCAGUAUCUGAAUAUUCAAUCAUUCAACACCUCAAGCUCUCACCAGGUGUAGAUCUUUGUAUUCACGAAUUUUAUUUUCAAUAAAGAUUGAGCAUACAGAUUAAAGGGAGUAGUAUUUAGCACCGAGCGGAAAGUGUGGGUUUAGCGCAUCCUACUUCCCCAGAACUCCGAGUCAACGUAGGUACCAGUUCAGUUGUAGUCCAUAUAUCAUGAUCAGACAGUUCAAAUUUCAGCUAGCAGAUGAUGAGUCCUCCUACUUCGGGGAUUUCAGUUAGAUGUUAUUUAUGUACUUUACUUUCUUACUCAUAUGUAUUGAUUAGUAGUAGUUGGAGUCGCAUCCCAGCUAUCUAUAGUGACGCCAGUCAGAGUCAGUCAUGUAAUUUUAGUUCUGCUCUCCAGUUUCAUCAGAAUAUAAAAUUGUAUCAGCAUUGUUUCUUUUUUAGAUUUCAUGAUUAUAUUUCCGCACAGUAACUUCAGUCAUUUUAUACAUAUGUAAAUCAGUUGCUUAGCAGUAUGCAAGUACAAGGGUUAGCUUGGGAUCACUUGUGUUCCUAACACCGUGUGACGUCUCGGGAUCCAUUUUCGAGGCGUUACAACUGUAGUCUACCUUUCUAUGCUUGAAUUUUAUUUCUCACUUUCUCCAUCAAAUCUUUAAAGUGUUCUUUCUUCUUCUUUAAGUGUUAGAUUGAACAACCAAGGUAUUUGAGAUAAAAUGAAUCCUUAGCCAUUCCCGUGGUUUGUUUCACUCUCCUAAAAAUAUUCUGAUUUAUGUAGCCUUUUAUCCAGAUUUUUGUUCAUAAUCCUAUAAAAUCAACAUAAUCUUUCAAGGGAAUAUGCAUUAGAAGAAGUAAAGAUAAUAGUGCCAUCAGCGUAUGCCAAGUGAUUGAGAUUUGGGAUUAACUUAUGAAUACCAUAUCCCAUAAAGAAAUCACCCUAAAAAAUAUAAUUGAGAGCCCUUGUCAUAACGUCAAUAGAUAAGAUAAAGCGAGUAGGAUACAUGGGAUCUCCUUAUUUUUUUAAUUAAUAGUGGACUCAAGGUUUGUUUUAUCAAAAGGGUCCGGUCAGCCCAAAUAGAACAUUUCAAUAACAAAUAUCAAACAAAAAGCCCAAACCCGAUCCAAUGACCUAAUUUGGGUCUAUAAAAGGCACCCUAAUAUUAAGGUUUCCUAAUUGAUCCUCUUGUUCUUUAUCCAUACGUCCUUUCUGUCGUUGAGGAUGUUUGUGUUAGUCCUUUGUAAUCGUCAUCUCCGUUUGCUCUUGUUGUGGGUGGUGAAUUACCUUCAUCAUCUUGUGUGCAUCUUCUUCCUGCUCAGCUUGAAGAAGUGUGAAAUUCGGUGGAGGUCCAUGAGUUUAGUUGAAACUCGAUAGAGAGUGUGAACACUGUAUAUAAGUUCCAUAGAUCCGUAAGUGGAGAAAAACAAGUUGCUUCCAAUCUCCGUCUUUCGAAACUCCUAGCUGAAUACAAGCAUUGUAUUGCAGAUCUUGUUCCUUUGCUCUAACUUUUUGCUGGUCAUCAAUUUUGUUGGCUGAUGUAGCUUAGGUUAGUUAGCUUUCUCACAGUUAUUUUGCCCUUAUGGCCAUAAACUAUUCUAUAAAUGUAAUAAUUGUGAAACUCUGUGGUCCUUCUUUUCUUGCCUUUCAUUAUUGAUUAUGUGUGACUGAUAUUUUCUUUGUUCUAACCCUUAUAUAAGGAAUCAUCAUGUUGUCUAUGUUUA